GAUGAACGCUGGCGGCGUGCCUAAUACAUGCAAGUCGAGCGAACAGAUGAGGAGCUUGCUCCUCUGACGUUAGCGGCGGACGGGUGAGUAACACGUGGAUAACCUACCUAUAAGACUGGGAUAACUUCGGGAAACCGGAGCUAAUACCGGAUAAUAUAUUGAACCGCAUGGUUCAAUAGUGAAAGACGGUUUUGCUGUCACUUAUAGAUGGAUCCGCGCCGCAUUAGCUAGUUGGUAAGGUAACGGCUUACCAAGGCAACGAUGCGUAGCCGACCUGAGAGGGUGAGCAGCCACACUGGAACUGAGACACGGUCCAGACUCCUACGGGAGGCAGCAGUAGGGAAUCUUCCGCAAUGGGCGAAAGCCUGACGGAGCAACGCCGCGUGAGUGAUGAAGGUCUUCGGAUCGUAAAACUCUGUUAUUAGGGAAGAACAAAUGUGUAAGUAACUAUGCACGUCUUGACGGUACCUAAUCAGAAAGCCACGGCUAACUACGUG
rnacentral:rRNA from 1 species